CAGGAUCAGUACCAUUUGUUGAAUUGGAGGGUAUUCUUCAAUCUUCCUUAUCUAUGUUUAGGUUUUCAUAUGGAUGUAUCCGUGGAUAAAGGACAAUCGGAUUGUUGAAUUAAUUGGGAAUAUCUUUGUAGCAGUAAUAUCCUUCGUAGCUGCACUCGGUUUCUUAGUGUAUGGAGGAAGUCUAUUUUGCCUUCUGAGGCGUUUCCCUGUUGACUCGAAGGGGCGAC